GAUGAACGCUAGCUACAGGCUUAACACAUGCAAGUCGAGGGGCAGCAGGGAUUUAGCUUGCUAAAUCCGCUGGCGACCGGCGCACGGGUGCGUAACGCGUAUCCAACUUUCCCGUUACUCAGGGAUAGCCUUCCGAAAGGGAGAUUAAUACCUGAUGGUGUUUGAAAUCCGCAUGUUCUUCAAACUAAAGAUUUAUCGGUAACGGAUAGGGAUGCGUGACAUUAGAUAGUAGGCGGGGUAACGGCCCACCUAGUCUACGAUGUCUAGGGGUUCUGAGAGGAAGGUCCCCCACACUGGAACUGAGACACGGUCCAG
rnacentral:rRNA from 1 species